AUUGCCUACGGGGCGCAGCAGUGGGGGAUAUUGCACAAUGGGGGAAACCCUGAUGCAGCGACGCCGCGUGGGUGAAGAAGCGCCUCGGCGCGUAAAGCCCUGUCAGCAGGGAAGAAAAUGACGGUACCUGAAGAAGAAGCCCCGGCUAACUACGUGCCAGCAGCCGCGGUAAUACGUAGGGGGCGAGCGUUAUCCGGAUUUACUGGGUGUAAAGGGAGCGCAGGCGGCGCGUUAAGCCUGGUGUGAAAGCCCGCGGCCCAACCGCGGGACUGCAUUGGGAACUGGCGCGCUGGAGUGCCGGAGGG
rnacentral:rRNA from 1 species